rnacentral:tRNA from 2 species
GCGGCUAUGGCGAAAUUGGUAGACGCAGCAGGUUUAGGUCCUGCCGGGAGACCGUGGGGGUUCGAGUCCCUCUAGCCGCACCA